rnacentral:misc_RNA from 1 species
GAGAAGAACGCAGCGAAAUGCGAUAAGUAAUGUGAAUUGCAGAAUUCAGUGAAUCAUCGAAUCUUUGAACGCACAUUGCGCCCCCUGGUAUUCCGGGGGGCAUGCCUGUCCGAGCGUCAUUACAACCCUCAAGCUCAGCUUGGUGUUGGGCCCCGCCGCCCCGGCGGGCCCUAAAGUCAGUGGCGGUGCCGUCCGGCUCCGAGCGUAGUAAUUCUUCUCGCUCUGGAGGUCCGGUCGUGUGCUUGCCAGCAACCCCCAAUUUUUUUCAGGUUGACCUCGGAUCAGGUAGGGAUACCCGCUGAACUUAAGCAUAUCAAAAGCGGAGGA